AGUAAAAUGCCUGAUUAAAGGAUUAUCUUGAUAGGAUAAAAUAUGUAUGAUUAUACUUUUACUA